rnacentral:rRNA from 1 species
GUCGAGCGAUGAGAUCACUUCGGUGAAGGAUUAGCGGCGAACGGGUGAGGAACACGUGAAGAAUCUGCCUUCAACUCUGGGAUAACUCCGGGAAACCGGGGCUAAUACCGGAUAUGAGCCUUGAUCGCAUGAUCGGGGCUGGAAAGUUUUUCGGUUGAAGAUGACUUCGCGGCCUAUCAGCUUGUUGGUGAGGUAAUGGCUCACCAAGGCGACGACGGGUAGCCGGCCUGAGAGGGCGACCGGCCACACUGGGACUGAGACACGGCCCAGACUCCUACGGGAGGCAGCAGUGGGGAAUAUUGGGCAAUGGACGAAAGUCUGACCCAGCGACGCCGCGUGCGGGAUGAAGGCCUUCGGGUUGUAAACCGCUUUCAGCAGGGAAUAAGCGCAAGUGAAGGUACCUGCAGAAGAAGCACCGGCUAACUAUGUGCCAGCAGCCGCGGUAAUACAUAGGGUGCAAGCGUUGUCCGGAAUUAUUGGGCGUAAAGAGCUCGUAGGUGGUUUGUUACGUCGGUUGUGAAAUUCAGGGGCUCAACCCCUGACUUGCAGCCGAUACGGGCAAGCUAAAGUUUGGUAGGGGAGACUGGAAUUCCUGGUGUAGCGGUGGAAUGCGCAGAUAUCAGGAGGAACACCGAUGGCGAAGGCAGGUCUCUGGGCCAAUACUGACACUGAGGAGCGAAAGCGUGGGGAGCGAACAGGAUUAGAUACCCUGGUAGUCCAC